rnacentral:misc_RNA from 1 species
ACACAAGUAUAUUACCACAAUUUGCACAGGAUUUUAAACGAGUAACGGAAUACACAUUUGCCCGCUGGCUAUUUUCAAGGCGUGUUCGAUUGUGUGAAAUUGUAUCUAAUGUUAAUCAAACAUGCACAUUAUUUGCGCUGCCGCGCCUGG